AUGCUACUGUAGGUUACUCUCCCAUGCUACUGUAGGUUACUCUCCCAUGCUACUGUAGGUUACUCUCCCAUGCUACUGUAGGUUUCUCUCCCAUGCUACUGUAGGUUACUCUCCCAUGCUACUGUAGGUUACUCUCCCAUGCUACUGUAGGUUACUCUCCCAUGCUACUGUAGGUUACUCUCCCAUUCUACUGUAGGUUACUCUCCCAUGUUACUGUAGGUUACUCUCCCAUGCUACUGUAGGUUACUCUCCCAUGCUACUGUAGGUUACUCUCCCAUGCUACUGUAGGUUACUCUCCCAUGCUACUGUAGGUUACUCUCCCAUGCUACUGUAGGUUACUCUCCCAUGCUACUGUAGGUUACUCUCCCAUGCUACUGUAGGUUACUCUCCCAUGCUACUGUAGGUUACUCUCCCAUUCUACUGUAGGUUACUCUCCCAUGCUACUGUAGGUUACUCUCCCAUGCUACUGUAGGUUACUCUCCCAUGCUACUGUAGGUUACUCUCCCAUGCUACUGUAGGUUACUCUCCCAUGUUACUGUAGGUUACUCUCCCAUGUUACUGUAGGUUACUCUCCCAUGCUACUGUAGGUUACUCUCCCAUGCUACUGUAGGUUACUCUCCCAUGUUACUGUAGGUUACUCUCCCAUGCUACUGUAGGUUACUCUCCCAUGCUACUGUAGGUUACUCUCCCAUGCUACUGUAGGUUACUCUCCCAUGCUACUGUAGGUUACUCUCCCAUGCUACUGUAGGUUACUCUCCCAUGCUACUGUAGGUUACUCUCCCAUGCUACUGUAGGUUACUCUCCCAUGCUACUGUAGGUUACUCUCCCAUGCUACUGUAGGUUACUCUCCCAUGCUACUGUAGGUUACUCUCCCAUGCUACUGUAGGUUACUCUCCCACGCUACUAUAGGUUAAUAUCUCGAUUGUAUCAUAAUAACUAUUGUCUGCUGUGGGAUGUGCAGUUGGGUAGUGCAGAGAAUAACAUGUACUGAUGUAGAUUGGAACAAACCAUCUACGUAAUGGUGAUGUGUACGUCUUAAAUGUUAUUAUUACUCUUAUUUUUUUCAAGUUGUGUAUGUUUCUGCUGUUGUAAAGGAAUAUAACUUUCCAUGUGAAAUGUAUCUUUGGAGAAAGUGAAGUGUUUGUGGCUUUCACUUUAAAAAAAAUAAAAUAUUUUGCUUGCUUGAAAACCGUGCUUACAAAUGAAUGGUGAAUAUAGCCUUUUGCUUCUCCAUGUGUUAAUGUAGUGUUAUAAGUCACUGCGGGUGUGAGGUAGCAGUAAUAAAAUGCUGUUUUAUAACA